ensembl:lncRNA
AUUUGUGCUGUGGGAAGGUGACACAGAAUCACAGACUCAAAGUGCUGUGAUGCUGCAACUCUACCUUGGCUCCAGCUCAGGCUAACACUAUUAGGAAGUGAAUUCCAUCCUGAUUCAACCCCUGCUGCUGCUGCUGCUGCUGCUAAGUCGCUUCAGUCGUGUCCGACUCUGUGCGACCCCAUAGACGGCAGCCCACCAGGCUCCCCCGUCCCUGGGAUUCUCCAGGUAAGAACACUGGAGUGGGUUGCCAUUUCCUUCUCCAAUGCAUGAAAGUGAAAAGUGAAAGUAAAGUCGCUCAGUCGUG